rnacentral:lncRNA from 1 species
AAAGAGAGAGAAUCAUCGAGAAAAAAAAGAGAAAAGAAAAUAAACUUGAGGGUUCAAAAGAAGCACUAGCCAAAGAAGGGGACUCGGUUGCAAAACAAGAAUAGAAAAGAAAAACCCAGCGAAAAAAAGAAGAAGAGAAUCUUAAGAAAGGAAAACGAACCAACACAGUGAAACUAACAGUAAGAUUGACUUUGAACCAAAAACACUUGUUUCCCAUUUUGUUUGAAU